AUUGAACGCUGGCGGCAGGCCUAACACAUGCAAGUCGAACGAGUGGCGGACGGGUGAGUAAUGUCUGGGAAACUGCCCGAUGGAGGGGGAUAACUACUGGAAACGGUGGCUAAUACCGCAUACCCUCGGAUGUGCCCAGAUGGGAUUAGCUAUUAGGGGGGGUAACGGCUCACCUAGGCGACGCUCCCUAGCUGGUCUGAGAGGAUGACCAGCCACACGAGACCUGAGACACGGUCCAGACUCCUAUGGGAGGCAGCAGUGGGGAAUAUUGCACAGUGGGGGAAACCCUGAGGCAGCAGCGCCGCGGGCGUAAUGUCGUCCUUCGGGGUGUAAACCGCUUUAGGUCAUGACGCGUUAGUGGCAGAAGAAGCACCGGCUAACUACGUGCCAGCAGCCGCGGUAAUAC
rnacentral:rRNA from 1 species